rnacentral:misc_RNA from 1 species
GAAGCUGAGUGUGGAUACUGGAUAAAUUAUGUGAUUGAUUUAGAUUAAUUGAUUAUAGCUAAUCAGACUCAAACCUAUUAAGAUAUCCAGUCAAUGUAAUUAUCUUUUCCAUUGUUCACCUUCUACUGUUAAAUGAGCUGGUAAAAAUUGGAGCAUGCUGAAAACAUGAUUAGCCAGUUGGAUACACAUACUUCUAGCGCUACACAUAAAUAAACUAUGUGAAUUUGCAACAUUGUUAUUUGGUUAAGUAAAUUUUGGUAUUUAUUUAAGUUGUUAUCAUGCAUAAUGAUGCUUUUAGAAGCUGUUGGUGGAGGAUUGAAAUUUGUAACUUUUAUAAAAUAAGUAAUGAACAGCAGAAGUUUGACUAAUAUAAAACUUCCAGAAUCUUUUAUGACUUCAUUUAUUGUACCCUUAUGUUUUCUAGUCUAUAUAAGCUCCUAUAACUUUCUGCUUGUCAAAAAGAAAAAGAAAAAUGAGCUUCUAUAAAAUUGUUCCUAUUUUAUUUUUCUUCCAUGAUGGACACUUCCAGCAUCAUCUUAUAUCAUGCUUUACAUUUUGAAUUACGUUAUACCUUGUUUAGCAAUACUACCCUAGAUGUUUGCCUCUAGUGUUGUUGAUUUAAUUUUGUUUUUAUUUAUUUUUUUACCCUAAGGACAUACCAUAGAGAAGGCAGUUAAAAUAUCCUUCUUUGUAUUUGAUGAACAUACCGAUUAUCAUUUUGAUGUUUUUAGAUAUUUUACAUUAAAGAUCAGCAUUUAUUUGUUUUCUCUUGCAGUAAUUAUGAAUACAGUAACUAGACCUAUAUAUAUGAACAAGUAGCAUUGUAUAUAAAUGACAAAAGUUUUGUGGCCAAGACUAGGGAAAUAAGUAGUACAAUAGCAAUAUGGAUAAAUUACAG